rnacentral:rRNA from 1 species
AGCGGCGGACGGGUGAGUAACGCGUGGGUAACCUGCCUCAUACAGGGGGAUAACAGUUAGAAAUGACUGCUAAUACCGCAUAAGCGCACAGGACCGCAUGGUCCGGUGUGAAAAACUCCGGUGGUAUGAGAUGGACCCGCGUCUGAUUAGUUAGUUGGCGGGGUAACGGCCCACCAAGGCGACGAUCAGUAGCCGGCCUGAGAGGGUGAACGGCCACAUUGGGACUGAGACACGGCCCAGACUCCUACGGAAGGCAGCAG